AUAUUCUUUCUUUUCAUGAACACAUAUAAUUCUAAUUUCAGUUGUAAGUGAAAAUAUUAAAGGCCAGUUGGAAUGGCUACGCACUCAUAAGGAACCAUUUGAGGAUGUAAAGGCGAGAUGGGAAGCAACUCAUGAGGCUAGACUUUAUAUGCUACGGAAUACAGAAAGUACACAAACUAUUUUUGAUUACAUAAACGACUUUAGUGUUUUGCAAUUGAGUUCUGGUUAUAUAUUGCUGUUGUCAGAUUUUAAGAAUUUAUACUCAGACUAUGAUUUGCACAUGUGGAGUAAAUGGCCUUCUUUGUCGCAAAAAAUAUGUACACUUCUGAAAUUAAAAGAUGAAAGUGAUCUUGCUAUUUUUAUGAGUUUGGGAAAUAUUUUCACUCCUACUCCAGUACAAUUAGAAAAUAAUAAAAGGUAGAAGCCAAACGCUCAAGAAGUACUUGAUGGAUUUAUACUUCAUGUAAAGAUAAACAACGAUUUAACACCAUCUAUGGAAAGAAUCGUCUUAAGAGCACAGCGGAUGAAAUAUAAAGUUCAACCUUUAAUUGUUGCUGUUGGAGCGACAUUGGCUGAAUGUAAAGAUUUCUACGUUGUGAUUGAUAAAAACUACUAUCAUUUUAAUGAUUGCAAGACUGCUGUGGAUGUUUGUUUCAAAGCAAUUCAUGCACUUCAUGCACAUUAUUCACCACAGAAUAAGACAAUUUGGUAUUUUCUUCAACAUGGUCUUUAUCAAUUGAAAACUUCUUGGGAUAAAGUUAUACCACAAGUAAGUAAAGGACCAAAAAAUUUAGAAAAUAUAAUGGAGUAAUAAUCAAUAUUAUUGGUAUUAUUGGUA